rnacentral:rRNA from 1 species
UGGGGAAUAUUGCACAAUGGGCGGAAGCCUGAUGCAGCGACGCCGCGUGAGGGAUGACGGCCUUCGGGUUGUAAACCUCUUUCAGUAGGGAAGAAGCGCAAGUGACGGUACCUGCAGAAGAAGCGCCGGCUAACUACGUGCCAGCAGCCGCGGUAAUACGUAGGGCGCAAGCGUUGUCCGGAAUUAUUGGGCGUAAAGAGCUCGUAGGCGGUUUGUCGCGUCUGCUGUGAAAGCCCGGGGCUCAACCCCGGGUCUGCAGUGGGUACGGGCAGACUAGAGUGCAGUAGGGGAGACUGGAAUUCCUGGUGUAGCGGUGAAAUGCGCAGAUAUCAGGAGGAACACCGAUGGCGAAGGCAGGUCUCUGGGCUGUUACUGACGC